CCUACGGGUGGCAGCAGUAGGGAAUAUUGCUCAAUGGGGGAAACCCUGAAGCAGCAACGCCGCGUGGAGGAUGAAGGUUUUCGGAUUGUAAACUCCUUUUGUUAGAGAAGAUAAUGACGGUAUCUAUCCAAUAAUCCCCGGCUAACUCCGUGCCAGCAGCCGCGGUAAUACGGAGGGUGCAAGCGUUACUCGGAAUCACUGGGCGUAAAGAGCGCGUAGGCGGGAUAGCAAGUCAGAUGUGAAAUCCUAUGGCUUAACCAGAGAACUGCAGUUGAAACUGUUAGUCUAGAGUAUGGGAGAGGUAGGUGGAAUUCUUGGUGUAGCGGUGAAAUGCGUAGAGAUCAAGAGGAAUACUGAUUGCGAAGGCGGCCUGCUAGAACAAAACUGACGCUGAUGCGCGAAAGCGUGGGGAGCAAACAGGAUUAGAUACCCUAGUAGUC
rnacentral:rRNA from 1 species